GUCAACCAGGCUCAUCAAAUCUCGAUCUGCUUCAUCUCUCAAAGGACGCCCCAGCCCCGAGAGGAGCCACCGCCGCCGCCGCCGGGGAACGAGAGGAGCCGCCGCCUCCAGGUCACCACUGCCCUCACCCUCGCAUCCAUACCUUCACCGUCGCCCUCGCGCUCGUGGAUCCCUGAAAUGCCGCCGAUCCGAGACGAGCCGCCGCCGCCGAGGAACGAGACGAGCCGCCGGCGCCGAGGAACGAGACGAGCUAGGGUUCCAUACACCGCCGCCGUCCCAACCACGAACGCCGACAUCGGCUGUAGCCGUCACGCCGCCAGCCAUCCAUGCCUCGUAGCCGUCGCAGCCGGUGCUUCCCCACCGAACGAGCGCCAAGGAGAAACACCGCUGUCUUUCUACAUGGUGGCCGCUCCCCUCGAUCCCCUCCAUCGCCUCUACCGCCGCCGAGGUACGAGAUCGCCUCCAUCUUGUUCCUUCCCUGGCCACGCCCCUCCCAAUUUCUUCCCCUCAUCCAACUAGGGUUCUCACCUGCCGCCGCUUCCCUGCUGCUACCCGCCACUGGAUGCCCUCCACGGACACCACCACCAUGAUGGCGGAAUGAAGAGCAAGAGGGGUCAUCGAGGAUGGGUGCCGUCGUGAGGUUGCUGGUGCCCAUGUGCGGUGAUGGCAUUGUGGCGGAAGAAGGUCUUCUUCCUGGGGAGCCGCUACCAGCCUCCGUCUCCACCCGCGGCCACGCUAAAAAGACAGAUCUCAACACUUGCUUGCUAAUGUGCAUGUGUGGAUGUUGCUGGCUGCUGCUGCUGUGCACGUCUGCUUGGUGUGCCCCUGCUGUUUUGUGUUCUCACCACCACAUCCACGACAAAUAAAAUUUCUUAGUUUUCUUAGAAUGGUUCAGGUUCGAUAUGUCAGGGCUGAAGUACGCUCCUGAGUUAAAGAAAGACCUCGAGAGACUCUGUAGUGUGUAUGCAGGAACUAAAGACAUGUAUUAGAGAAUGAACCAUCAAUCCUCUUCUUGCUUAUUGUUUGUCAAAUGCUAUAUUAAAGCACUAUAUCAAUUCCAUUGUUAUUUACACGAAGGGACGGAUUAGGACCUGUGGGAUCAUGGCUCUUUCAGCUUGAACAGUAUUUGUGAUGUAUCCUUCACUUACCGUGCCACGGGGUUAUCGCGGAUAUUGGUGGAGGACUUGGUGGACUAGCGCAAAAUGGAAAUCUAGAAAGAAGUGAAACUAAUCAGCUAUGGUUCUCCUGGAGUAUUUGUGCAACCAGAAGGCCGCCCAUGAUAAAUAUGAUGUUCUUUAUGCAUUUAAAAAACUACUAAAGGGAAAGUUGUGAAUGUUGUAUUGCAGAGCGUAUGCGUCAGAGGCCAGUCAGCAGAGGUGCAUGCAGGUUUGUGCUUGAGGGUGCACGCGAGCCGGCGGCUACAGGCAGAGGGUGCGGCCUGUGUGUGCGUGUUGUGGUCGCCUGAUUUGAUUGUAAAUCGUGUAGAGCAAAGGCGGCUUCUGUGGCGCCGGAGCAACAAUUUCAGUGAGCACAUGGACUUGAUGCAGGGAGGGUCGUCGAAGAGAAGGACGGCGGCCCGGCCUACACAUGAUGGAACACACAUUGCCGACGAUGCGGUACCAGGCCUGGAGAAGAGAUCCCGAGUUUCCAUUCUUCUGCAACGACAGGGAGUAUGUUAUCGGUCGCGGGGUCUAGGCAUCUAGAAAGACGUACUACUGCGCUAAUAAGGUAUCUGAUGAAAUAGUACAACUUUAUAUGUCAGGGUUCCUUUACGACAGGGAGUAUGUUAUCGGUCACGUGAUUGCUUUUACAGCCAUUUUCAGGGUUCCUUUACUACUGUACAUGAGAUGGAA